UACUAGCUUCUUGCAACAACCUUGCUCUCAUAUAAAAGAGGUCUUGGAUCUAACGAAGAGGACAUCUUCUCCUUGGACGAAACAAAGACAAAAAGGAUGAAAACAAAAGUAUAAAGACUCACGAAAAGGUGGAGAGACUUCGGUACCACCAAGAUCACGUCAUCCGCCACCAACACAUGGUGGAAUCAUUAUAUCUAUUUAAUGAGGAAACAAUUCUUCCAUUUUUUCUGGGCUGAAUAAGAACGAGAGAGAUGAGUUUCCUAAUGUCUAUCUCACGAAGUAAACACAUUGUUGUGUUUGUUAAAGACAAGAAUCUAUGACGAAAGCAACCCUCGUAUCACGUUAAUGACACGAGCUUAUCUUCGUACGACAAGAUCGAUCUAAUGAGAUCGUAUGCAGAUAGUUUGAGUUAAUUGAACUCGUCAACCAGACAUCGAAUACUUCUCAUUCAAGACAAGAGAUCGCGAAGUAGACAUCUAGCCCGAGACCAGCGAAACCGAGGUCUCACUCCGGACCGAUGAAACCGACAUCUCAUUCGAGAUGAUUAUAACUGAACUACGUUUAGACUUGAUCCCUUGACGGGUACGUAGGCAGCUCGAUCCCGAGUUCAGUCACGAUCUUCCUUCAACCGAAAUACCUAUGCUAUUCGAUCCAUUUUGUCAUUUUGUCAACUCAUACUUGAUUAUGUCUUUGUGUUCUGAGGAUAUCGUUGCCCACAUUAUUUUCUUCCCUAGAUUUAACAUUCAAUCACUAUCAAAUACUUAGUGUAGAUUUUAGGAUCUACAAUGCUCAGGUAUUUUUUUCCAUUAUUUAGUUUCCAAUUUAGUGCUAGCAUCAUGGAAUAUGUGAGAUGGAUGUUAUCUGAUAAGCGGAUUGUCACAGGUGACCUGACGUUUAACGAUCACCGACUGAACUUCUUCAAACACUUACUUAUUAGUGAAGGAUCUGUUUAUGAGCUAAGUGUGUUUGAGGUAUCCCUAAGCAACCCCAACUUCCGCUUAAGCGAGGCCCCUUGCUAUUCGUUUCACUGACCAAACCCUUGUUUGAGGAGCUCUCUGAAACAGAGAACCAAUCCCAAUGGAGAGCUUCAGUUUCCGGAAUUAGGAGCAAUUGAUGAUAUUAUCCAACACGAAACUGAUUUACCAGAUAUUCUUGGGCGAGUUAGGAGGAUAAGAACAGCUUACAAAGAAGUGAGCCAGAGUACACAACACAUGAUGAUUACCGUAAGCAUUGAAGAGUAUAUAUCUAAUCACAAACUUUCAUUUUUGUAUAACUUAAAGCAUAUAGAGGGCUGCCAUAGCUCAACGUGUCUAAAAAUGUUUCUCAAUGUCGAUCAAAGAUUUAGUUAAGCAACUAGAUGAAAAUUAGCAAAGUAGGGGUAAAGAACCAAAGGUCGUGGUUGCCUCUAACAUCAACCAAAAAUUAGUUGAAGGCCGGCAACUGAAGCAAGUGGUGCAGCAUUAGAUCCGAGUCAGGCCUCUGAAGCAGGAGGGGUGCUCUGGGAGGAAGCAACAGACUGACUAAGUUCACAAGAACAAGUGGAGCUUCGUUUACAUGACAGGAUGACCUGUUCGUUGCUUUAGUUUUUCAAAAAAUUCAAAACACUAUAGUCUGAUUUAUUUGGUUAGUACUUCGAAGCUUUGUUUUAUUUGAUUUGCUAUGGUUCACUUUCUAAACAUUUCAGCCGUUUCAGACAGACAUUAACAAAAAACAUGCUCCACCAUUCUUUGUCUUUUAACUUAGGAAACUUAAUCAAAUAUUUAGAAAUAAGAUGAAUACGUAUUAAUGCAUUCUGCUUAUUUACAACAAUUAGCAUGAGCUUUAGUAUCUAACAUGGAGUGCGCUCAUAUUGAAAUCUUUUACAGAUUUCACAUUAUUUAUAAUUGAUAGUUAUUUAUAAAAUAGACACUA